rnacentral:rRNA from 1 species
GACAGAGGGUGCAAACGUUGUUCGGAAUUACUGGGCGUAAAGCGCGUGUAGGCGGCAGGGCAUGUCGGAUGUGAAAUCCCGUGGCUCAACCACGGAAGUGCACCCGAAACUGCCCAGCUUGAGUCUCGGAGAGGAAGGCGGAAUGCUUGGUGUAGAGGUGAAAUUCGUAGAUAUCAAGCGGAACACCGGUGGCGAAGGCGGCCUUCUGGACGAUGACUGACGCUGAGACGCGAAAGCGUGGGGAGCAAACAGGAUUAGAUACCCUGGUAGUCCACGCCGUAAACGAUGAGUGCUAGGUGUCACGGGCUUUGACCCCUGUGGUGCCGUAGCUAACGCAGUAAGCACUCCGCCUGGGGAGUACGGCCGCAAGGCUAAA